ACUGAAGACGUUAGGCGUCGACGCUCAUUGACGUUAGCUGCAGCUCGAGCCAGCUAAAGAUAAGCGACAUGAAACCGAUUUUAAAUUAGUUAAAAAGUAAUAACACAACCGUAUCCGUGAUAAAAAACACAAGGAAUUAACUCAUAACAACUACAAGUUGAAAUGGAGCCUCUGGAUCCUGCCAAGAAUGAUGAAGGCGGUGGAUUCUCUAAGCAGCGCAUUUCUUCGAUUUUAAAAGCACCACGGAGAUCAAUCAGAUUCCCUGACCCACAGCAACAGGAAAAUGUGGUGGAGUGUGGCAACCAGGGGAAAAGAGGAAUUCAAGAAGAGUCAGUUUUGCCCCUGCCAACGAUGUUCUCCUGUUUUCAAAGGAUGUAAAAAAUGAUUGUCCUGUCCGGAGUCCUUUACAAGACUUGCCAACAACAACAACAGCAGCCACACAGAAUAGGGUCCAGGUGGCAGUCACUGAUGAUGGGAUUCAACAAAUUAUGGGGAUGGAAACCCUGCUGAAUGCUCCUCUACAUGCUUCUCAACAAAGGGAUAAGGUCAACUUCGAUACUGUGGGUGACUUAGGGGAGAAAACGGUGAUGUUCUCUGAUGAUGCAUUCAUGGACAUGACCCACAGUCACACUAUAAACAUUGCCAGUGAUGCAGAACUCCAAAGCUAUGUCGCUUUACCCACGAGAGGAGACAGAACCGUGAUGUUCACUGAGAAUGAUGCAUCCAUGGAUAUGACCCUCAGUGUUCCAGUAUCACUACCCAUGAGUAGAAACAUGGAUUCGAGUGUAGAGAAGAAAAACAUAUCUUCAUCAGUGCCAUCGUUGGAUCCUGGAUUUGAAAACUUCUUUGCAAGUCUUUCUAAACCAAGGGGCGCAAAUCCUGCGAUCCCCAGAAUGACGUCUGCUGCUGGCGCAUCCUCUGAAGAAACAAACGGCUCCGUGGGCCAGAUAAAAACCCAAGGCGCUGAUGUGGACAAAGAAAAUCAGGCUCCAACUUCAGUUUCAGCUGUGAUGAGGAAGUCACUAAAUGCAUCCAGGAAGAUUGGUGAAUUAUCUUACGGAAGUGCCCUCUGUCCGGAAGAUGAUUUGAGCAUGGAUAUGACUGAAGCUCAGACAGGCCGCAUUAUAGGACUCACUGAUGAUCACUUUCAGUUUCUCUUUCCCACACAAGACAUGUACUCUCACCGUGACAACAGAGUGCCGCAGACAGCAGAGAAGACCAAACCGCAGAUCAGUAAAACAUCGACAUCAUUCAACCCUAAAGAUGUGACAUCUUGGACGAAUCCUUCUCGGCAUGCUUCUCAUCAAAGCCUCAAGGUCAACCUUGAUGCACAAGAUGAAGGCAGAGAGAAAACAAUAAUGUCCACUGCAGGUGAUGAGUUUAUGGAUAUGACUCGGAGUCACACCGUUCGCAUUGCCAGUGGUUCAUUAGCUCUUCCGAACCAAAACGUGGACAUUUUUCACCCUCGUGGGAAAAUGGACGACGCUUCAUCUCUGCAGGAGCGAAACCCGCCUGGCUCGUCAGCUAAUUGUUUGGAUCUAGGAUUAAAAAACUUCCUUUCAAGUCUCUAUAAAGCAGGCACCCCCAGUGGUAAUCCUUCUACUGCAGCAUCCUCUGAGGAAACUGUCAACACAAACCGCUCCCUGUCGCAGCUUGAAAGUAAUGUUGGUAAAGAAAAUCGGUCAACAAGGAGCUUUGGAGAAUCUUUUAAUGGAGGCACAAUCUGUCCUGAAAAUGAUGUGAGCAUGGAUAUGACUGAAGCUCAGACGGGCCGCAUUGUAGGACUCACUGGCUCAGAUGAUCCUUUCCAGUUUCUCUUUCCCACACAAGACAAGUACCCCCACGGUGAAAGUCUGAGGACACAAGAGAUCACUUCAGGACCGAAGAGCAGCGAAGUGCUGGGAUCAUCUCACCGUCUGGAACCCUCAUUGAAGCCACUUUUGAAGACAAAUGUACAAAGAAAUCCGGUCAAAUUUGACACCGAAGACGACUACAGAGAGAAAACAGUGAGGUUUUCUGCAGAUGACGCCUGUAUGGAUGUAACACGAAGUCACACUGUAAAUAUUUCAGCUGAUUUACAACGGCAAUCGCUCCAAAAUGUGGCCUUUUUACCUGCAUGUGGAGAGAAGACCGUGAGGUUCACUGCAAACGAUGCAGCGAUGGAUAUGACCCAGAGCCUCACUGUGAACAUUUCCAGUAAUUUAGCAUCGGAUUCAGUUCCUGUGAAGAAACAAGAAGGUGUGAGAUGUGGUCCGCCUACAAACAGAUCCUUCAUCAGCACGCAGUUUGGAUCCAAGGUUUAAUGAUGAUCCUCUUCAGCGUCCUUUCCCACCCCAUGACAUGGACCCAGAAAUGGGCAGUGUGAAGAAAGCGGAGAUGACUUCACAACUACAGCGCCAUGAAGCACCGGGAUCAUCUAACCGUAAAGGUAUGGAUCCCUCAUCGACUGCUUCUUUAAAGACGAAGGUGCAAAAACAUCAGAUCAAGUUUGAUGCUGAAGACGACUGCAGAGAGAAAACAGUGAGGUUCACUGCUGACGAUGCAGCUAUGGAUGUGACAAGGAGUCACACUGUAAACAUUGCCACUGACUUACCACCACAGUCUUACCACAAUGUGGGAAUGUUACCUGCAUACGGAGAGAAAACCAUGAGGUUCACUGCAACUGAUGCAGCUAUGGAUGUGACAAGGAAGUCACACUGUAAGCAUUGCCACUGACUUAGAACUGCAAUCAAACCAAAAUCUGGACUUUUUACCUGCUUGCGGAGAGAAAACGGUGAGGUUCACUGCUGACGAUGCAGCUAUGGAAGUGACAAGAAGUCACACUGUAAACAUUGCCACUGACUUACGACCACAGUCUUACCACAAUGUGGGAAUGUUACCUGCUUACGGAGAGAAAACCAUGAGGUUCACUGCAACUGAUGCAGCUAUGGAUGUGACAAGGAGUCACACUGUAAACAUUGCCACUGAUUUACCACUGCAGUCACACCAAAGUCUGGACUUUUUACCUCCUUUCGUAGAGAAAACGGUGAGGUUCACUGCUGACGAUGCAGCUAUGGAAGUGACGAGAAGUCACACUGUAAAAAUUGCCAGCAAUUCAGUAUCAGAUUCACUUCUUCCACACCGAGAUUCUAACAUUUUAUCCACCCAUGAAAGCACCGAUUUUCCUUUAUCUGCGAAGAAGACACAUCGUCCCUGUAGAAACCGAUCUUCAUCCUCACAAGCUUUGGAUCUCGGAUUUAAAUACUCCCUGUCUAGGAUGAGUGGCCCCUGGGCUAAUCCUCUGAUCACCAGAGCAGUGGCUGCGGCUGCACCGUCCCCUCAAGAAACUGUAGACACAAAUUGUUUCCUGGACCAACUUAAUACACAGAAGCCGGAUGUGGAUACUGAAAAAGAGGCUCCAGGUUUUGUUUCAGCUGUCAUGGAGAAGCCAGUAAACAAAAGCAUGGCAGCAGGUCCAGAGGACGAUGUAAGCAUAGAUAUGACUGAAGUUCAAACGGGUCACAUUUUGGGACAAGCGUAUACAGAUGAGCCACCUCAGUGCCCUUCUUCUGCACAGGACACCGAGGUCACUUCCAAACAGAGCAAUGAAGCACUGGGAUCAUCCAACCCCGACCAAAUCACAAACUUUCCCGAUUCUCUUGACUCAAAUGAAACUGACAACUGGAAGGAACCUGAACCAAGAAAUCAAACUGGUGCUUUAUCACAGAAGGUGGAGAGCUCACCCAGUGCUGUUGAUGAUGCCGCGCCCUCAUUGAAGUCUAGACGAAUUAGUUUAGCCGAUCUUCAGUCAAAAGUAAGGCGUUUGAGCCACAUGGUGAAGACAGCUCCUGAUACUGUUGCCACGGACGGCUGCACGGCACCUUUGCCUCGGCUGCAAUGCGACAUGGACAAAAACUCAAAUGACCAAACCAACUCACUACCUGUAACAGAGCCUGAACGUGAAGAACAUACACAAGCUCAAUGUCUUAUGCAAGAACAACCCCCCAUUACUACGACUCCUUUCAACUUGAAGACGAAAGAACUUAUGUCCAGACUCUCAAUGGGAAGCUUUAAGGCAAAGCUCCCCCAAAGAAGCAAACCCAACGAUCCCAAAGAGGGAGAGUUAUGUGGGAGAACAUACAAGGACAGUCAAUGUUACUAAUCAACUUGGCAACAUCGCCGAUGAUUUGAGCGAUAUUUACGAUGAAGAGCUUGGUAGCUAUGAAGAUAUGUCAGAAACGGUUGACAUAAUGAGUCCUCAGAAAGCCACUGAAGAAGUGAGUGCUUCCCACGAGUUCAUGGGAGAGCUUUCAGAGGACAAUGUCUUUGACCAGGACGUUAUAAGUGCUGUCCAUGGAAAAAAGAGACCUUUGCCUGUAGAUGAAAAUAAUCCGGAGGAUGA